GACGAACGCUGGCGGCGUGCUUAACACAUGCAAGUCGAGCGGAGCGGCGAACGGGUGAGUAACGCGGGAGUAACUGCCCCCCUCUCUGGGAUAACAGUUGGAAACGGCUGCUAAUACCGGAUAGUGGGGGAUGACUCGCGGCCUAUCGGCUUGUUGGUGGGGUAGGGGCCUAUCAAGGGGACGACGGGUAGCCGACCUGAGAGGGCGACCGGCGACAUUGGGCGGAGAUAGGGCGCAAUGGCCUACGGGAGGCAGCAGUGGGGAAGAUUGCACAGUGGGGGAAAGCGUGAUGCAGCAGCGCCGCGUGCGGGAUGACGGCUUUCGGGUUGUAAACCGCUUUAAGCCAUGACGCGGUAGUGGCAGAAGAAGCACCGGCUAACUACGUGCCAGCAGCCGCGGUAAUAC
rnacentral:rRNA from 1 species